CUUCAGUACCGGAUUGGUUCCCUCUCCCGCUGACCGCGAGCACCAACACCCGUCAGCAAGGCGGAGCGGCUAGAGCUGAAACAGGCCUGGAAGUGAGGCAGUGCGGACACAAAUGCAAACGACGAGGCCACUGUGGUGGAGUUCAGCGCGUCGGAGCGCAAGUUGGAGAAAGAGAGUAGUGAUGAAAAUCGUCCUGCUUGACACAAACAAUCAUUUUUACAAUUGACCUGAAUUCGUGUUAAGAACGGACCUCUUGUAUAAACUAAUUUUCAUAUACAUUUUUUGGGUGUCCACCUAUUCAGUGGAUUGUUAUCGCUCGACGUCCCUGGAAUAGACAGCCUUCAUCAUUGAUCAAUCAGAAACAGGAACUAUUGUGAGAUCUGUGCUUGUGUUCGUUAAGAGACCUCUGUCGUUGAAACUUGCCCUGCUCCAUGUCGCCCACGCUUGACAUGCAGUUACUGGGGUCGAUGGGUCAAUCCAGUUCAUUACUUAUGAAAGCACAAAACUGCGAACUACUCUUCAUCUAGAUGUAAUCUAUUUUUAUCCUUCGACGGAAGAUUAAUUGUGAGAGCUAACAGGAGAGCAUUGGUAAGCAAAUAAGAUAAUCUGUUGACGAUCUGAUCGAAAGAGUGUGUUUCCCAAAGACGAUGGAAAGUGCGUGGGGCUUCUGGGACUUGAGCGGGAAUUACCCAGUCCUUCUGAUAUGCGUCUCGAUGGCUUGUCUGUUUCUGGGGGCCACACUCAUGUACGUUGCUCAUUCACGGAGGUUUCGCCUCAAUUGGUUCGAAAGGAAUCGACUCGACUCCCUGGCCUGUGAGGAAGCUACCGUUGUUAAGUUGUGUAAUCGUCAACGAUAUCACAGUGGAUCCACAUGUAGUGGGGGAAGCCUCGCGGAUCUCACGGCAGCUUUGCCCCCCCUGGCGACUCCAAGCGCCAGCCGCUCAUUAAUGUCAGGAACUUUACACAGCGCCCUCCAAGAACAAGGGUCAGGCGGUGGCGGUUGUUCGAAAAGCACGGUAAGUGGCAGCAUCGUCGAUAGAAGUUGUGUAUGUUCAGAUUUUUAAUUACCUCGAUCGUCGGGAUCACCAGCGAGUGUCACCACUAACGGAGCGGCACACUCAAUCCUCUACGCCAUACAGCCACUUAUCCGUGCAUCCAACAGUGAAGCAACAAUGCGACCUGUCGCCCUGUUCGGACGUGAGUUCCGCCAUACAAAAGCACGUGCUGCAACAGCUGUGGGGCCCUGCUUGACUGCAGUAGAUGGAGCUCAAAGUGAGCACAAUGCACGAAAAGAUCGACCACAUUAAGUUCGACACAUCGAGCAAAGGGAAAAAACUACAUGUCGUGAUUGCGGUCGUUAUAUUCUGUUCGGCUUUGUGAACAGGAGGCGACGAGCGUGGACGGCGGUGAAGAUUAAGAUGAUCCCGGUUACAUCAAUUAUUUUCUGACGUACAAGGCACACUUCUCUCUACUGUGUGUACGUGCAGUGAGGGCGUCUGACCUGACGCUAAUUGCUCCAACAGAAUUCAUAGUGAACCCUUCUAUCGGACCCAGAAGCAUCGACUUAGCCAAAAGCUGGACAAAUGCGACGUAACACACUUGAACCGGAUUUCGAGGAAGAUUUAAUACCAUUAUGGACCUUCAUAUAAAAGUAAGCGAACAUACAAACGGUUACAAAGUGAGUUAGAACUAAUUAGUGUCCGAAAUCGUGGCCAGACAAUAGACGCUAGAAGUCACGCGACGCCAAAGUGAACGUGGCCAUAAUAGUAAUAUUAGAUGAUAUACGUUCGGUGUCGGAACGCUAAGACGUAGCUUUUAUUGCCAAAUAAAUGUGAUCAGAGGAGUUUCUCUGGAACUUCUUC